rnacentral:lncRNA from 1 species
UUGUGGAGCCAAGAAGAUCCUGGCCUUCCCUCUCUCGCGUUGCCACAUUGCUCUCAUUGCUUCACCACAACAAACUCUCUCUCUCUCUCUCUCUCUCUCUCUCUCUCUCUCUCUCUCUCUCUCUCUCUCUCACUCAUGAUUUCACUCAAUAAGAGUGGAAUCUUAUGUGUAGAACAUGUGAGAGUGAGGAGAGGCAUUUUGAGAGAGGGGGAUAUCUCUUGAUUGUCAGCAUCCUCCCCUUCUCCCCUUUCUUCCCUCCAUAUAACUUCCUCAGCUCAUGGAGGGCUAAACCCACCCUCUCUCCACACCCCGCAUACAGCAAGAAA